rnacentral:rRNA from 1 species
UAUUAUUUUAAAUGUAUAUAUUUUGGACUUGAGUAGUAAUAGAAAGUUCUUGAAACUCAAAGAAUUUGGCGGUAUUUUAGUCUUUUUGGAGGAAUCUGUUCCGUGAUUGAUAAUACACGAUUUAUUAUACUUAAUUUUGAUAACCAGUUUAUAUAUCGCCGUCAUAAGAAUAUUUUUGUUGAGAAUAUAAAUUUUCUUUAUUUUAAAUUAUAAAAUAUGUCAGGUCAAGGUGUAGCUAAUAAUUAAGUGGAAAUGGAUUACAAUAAUUUGAAUUAUAUGAAUAAUUUAUUUAAUAUAAUUUUGAAGGUGGAUUCAAUUGUAAAUUUAUUUUAGAUUUUUAAUUUGAUUUGGCUCUGAAAUGUGUACAUAUCGCCCGUCGCUCUC